ensembl:lncRNA
CGAAGAUUGAAAGGGAUCUUUGCAAACACAAUCACGUUCUUAAAUGGAAAUGUGGGGCUUUAAACAAAUCUUACAUCUCUCCUGUUCCAGUCGUCUAAAACUCCGCAAUCAGGCACACGUUCGACUCCAUCUAAAACCACAGCUUUUUUUAGAAGAUUUUUUUGGCUUUUGCGAGGAAAUGUGCCAUCACAUACGCAGAAUUCAGGCAUCAAACCAAAAGGCUUCUCUGUGGACUAAUGGAGCUGAAAGCUGA